rnacentral:rRNA from 1 species
GAUGAACGCUGGCGGCGUGCCUAACACAUGCAAGUCGAGCGGACGGACGAUAAGCGCGUGCUCCUGCGGUUGGCGACGGGCGGGUGAGUGACGCGUGCAUAACCUUCCACUAUGUCGGGGGUAAUAUCGGGGGACCGCAGAUGCUAAUAGAUAAUAUUUUCAACCGGAUGGUUCAAAAGUGAUUGACGGUUUUGCUGUCACUUAUAGCUGGUUCCGCGCUGGAUUAGCUAGUUGGUAAGGUAACGGCUUACCAAGGCAACGAUGCAUAGCCGACCUGAGAGGGUGAUCGGCCACACUGGAACUGAGACACGGUCCAGACUCCUACGGGAGGCAGCAGUGGGGAAUCUUGGACAAUGGGCGAAAGCCUGACCGAGCAACGCCGCGUGAGUGAAGAAGGUCUUCGGGUCGUAAAACUCUUUUAUUGGGGAAGAAAAGAUGCGUGAGUAACUGUGCAUAUUCUGACGGUACCUAAUCAAUAAGCACCGGCUAACUACGUG